AAACAAGAGUUCCGCGGUCGGAGAUGACCGCAUUGAAGCCGGAUUUUUUAUUUAAAUGACAGGAAAGUACCUUUCGUGUUUUUGUCAAUGCAAUACUUAAAUUACUGAAAUAUUGUUCAAAGGUCAAAAUGAAAUGUAAGUACUUUUCAAGGCAUGAGCAAACCUUGUGUUAUGUUUUGAAUGCAUGCAUAUACAUGAACAACAAUAACAUUUAAGGUCACAGUGACCUUGACCUUAGAAUGAAUGACCUUGAAAUGACCAGUGGUCAUCUAAGUGUGCUUGCAAACCUUCAUGUCAAGUUUGAAGACUCUAUGUCCAAGCAUACCAAAGUUAUAACAAUUUUAACAUUUUAACAUUUAAGGUCACAGUGACCUUGACCUUCAAAUGAAA